UACGGAGGGUGCAAGCGUUAUCCGGAUUCACUGGGUUUAAAGGGUGCGUAGGUGGGCAGGAAAGUCAGUGGUGAAAUCUCCGGGCUUAACCCGGAAACUGCCGUUGAUACUUUUUGUCUUGAAUAUUGUGGAGGUAAGCGGAAUAUGUCAUGUAGCGGUGAAAUGCUUAGAUAUGACAUAGAACACCAAUUGCGAAGGCAGCUUACUACACAACGAUUGACGCUGAGGCACGAAAGCGUGGGGAUCAAACAGG
rnacentral:rRNA from 1 species